rnacentral:rRNA from 1 species
AACGAACGCUGGCGGCAGGCUUAACACAUGCAAGUCCAGCGCCCCGCAAGGGGAGCGGCAGACGGGUGAGUAACGCGUGGGAAUCUACCCAUCUCUACGGAAUAACGCAUGGAAACGUGUGCUAAUACCGUAUACGUCCUUCGGGAGAAAGAUUUAUCGGAGAUGGAUGAGCCCGCGUUGGAUUAGCUAGUUGGUGGGGUAAAGGACUACCAAGGAAACGAUCCAUAGCUGGUCUGAGAGGAUGAUCAGCCACACUGGGACUGAGACACGGCCCAGACGCACACGGGAGGCAGCAGUGGGGAAUAUUGGACAAUGGGCGCAAGCCUGAUCCAGCCAUGCCGCGUGAGUUAUGAAGGCCCAAGGGUUGUAAAGCUCUUUCACCGGUGAAGAUAAUGACGGUAACCGGAGAAGAAGCCCCGGCUAACUUCGUGCCAGCCGCCGCCGUAAAAC